rnacentral:lncRNA from 1 species
AUCACAAGUUCAUGAGAUCGAGACCAUCUUGGCCAACAUGUGUGAGGGUUCUCCAGCACCUAGACUGUGUCCCAGUGCCUGGCUACUGCUUCAAGGACCAUGAAGUCGAUGACACCACGAGGAUAAGGACUGAGUCUGUUUUCCUCAAUCCUGCGUUCCCAGUGAUUAUAAGAGUGUCUGGCACAUAGGAGGAUCUCAAUCAAUAUUUGUGCAAUGAAGAAAUGAGGGACUUAAGGUGUACAGAUGACCGAGAAGCAAGGCUGAGAGAGGUGGAAGCACUCACCCAAAGUUACACAGCCAGGAAAAGACAGAGCCAGGCUGUACUGCAAAGUCAGUUAGUGACCCUGAGGCUGACAGUAACUUGGGGAGAUUCAGCUUAGAUGACAGGGAUGCUGGUUUCUGCAGCAGCCUCUCUGCAACCUGAGGGCAGCAAUGCCGACAGGCAGCAAGCUGCAGGCACACUUGACAGAUGUGAAGAUCUGGGUUCUGGGGAUGCUGUUGAGCUGCUCGAUGAGCCCACUUUGGACCUGCCCUACCGCCAGACUUUUUGUGAUCCAAGUGCAAGGAAAUUACAGGGCUAUCAACUCUAUCUCUUUCCAAGACCAGAAAGUCGGCAGAUGGAGAACGGUUUCUAGAUGGGGAGGGAAUCUGCCUUUGGAACUUUUAGCGACCUGGUAUGGUUCAACAUUCCAUCACUAUGCAAAAAUAAAUAAAUAAAUUGCAGACCAACGUACAAAGGAAAGCAGCAAAGUUACUCUUCGCGGGGACGGUUGUGAACAAGGUAACAUCUUAGAGACAGACCCCGGGGUCUGUAGCUUUGCAUUAAAGCCAUAGUCUCUAACUGGAGGCAGCAAAAUGUUCUUCCGCCCCACUGGGGUGAACCUGGAAUGUGGAAGGACGGGAAAUAAUACAAAGUCACACGCUUUAGGUUCUACAACUCCUGACUGGCUGAAUUGGCCCGUCGAUUUACCUUGAGGCAGUUUUGGCGGGGUGGGGGCUGGGAUGGGGGAGGCGGUUGUAGUUUUCAAGGUGAAUUUACACACACACACACACACACACACACA